rnacentral:tRNA from 1 species
GGUAGGAUGCCGGAGCGGUCAAUCGGAACAGACUGUAAAUCUGUCGGGCUAACGCCCUACGAAGGUUCGAAUCCUUCUCCUACCACCA